GUACACAAAAAUGCACAUAUUGUGAGCUCGAUGAGUAGGGCGGGACACGUGGUAUCCUGUCUGAAUAUGGGGGGACCAUCCUCCAAGGCUAAAUACUCCUGACUGACCGAUAGUGAACCAGUACCGUGAGGGAAAGGCGAAAAGAACCCCGGCGAGGGGAGUGAAAAAGAACCUGAAACCGUGUACGUACAAGCAGUGGGAGCCUCUUUAUGGGGUGACUGCGUACCUUUUGUAUAAUGGGUCAGCGACUUAUAUUCUGUAGCAAGGUUAACCGAAUAGGGGAGCCGAAGGGAAACCGAGUCUUAACUGGGCGUUAAGUUGCAGGGUAUAGACCCGAAACCCGGUGAUCUAGCCAUGGGCAGGUUGAAGGUUGGGUAACACUAACUGGAGGACCGAACCGACUAAUGUUGAAAAAUUAGCGGAUGACUUGUGGCUGGGGGUGAAAGGCCAAUCAAACCGGGAGAUAGCUGGUUCUCCCCGAAAGCUAUUUAGGUAGCGCCUCGUGAAUUCAUCUCCGGGGGUAGAGCACUGUUUCGGCAAGGGGGUCAUCCCGACUUACCAACCCGAUGCAAACUGCGAAUACCGGAGAAUGUUAUCACGGGAGACACACGGCGGGUGCUAACGUCCGUCGUGAAGAGGGAAACAACCCAGACCGCCAGCUAAGGUCCCAAAGUCAUGGUUAAGUGGGAAACGAUGUGGGAAGGCCCAGACAGCCAGGAUGUUGGCUUAGAAGCAGCCAUCAUUUAAAGAAAGCGUAAUAGCUCACUGGUCGAGUCGGCCUGCGCGGAAGAUGUAACGGGGCUAAACCAUGCACCGAAGCUGCGGCAGCGACACUAUGUGUUGUUGGGUAGGGGAGCGUUCUGUAAGCCUGUGAAGGUGGCCUGUGAGGGUUGCUGGAGGUAUCAGAAGUGCGAAUGCUGACAUAAGUAACGAUAAAGCGGGUGAAAAGCCCGCUCGCCGGAAGACCAAGGGUUCCUGUCCAACGUUAAUCGGGGCAGGGUGAGUCGACCCCUAAGGCGAGGCCGAAAGGCGUAGUCGAUGGGAAACAGGUUAAUAUUCCUGUACUUGGUGUUACUGCGAAGGGGGGACGGAGAAGGCUAUGUUGGCCGGGCGACGGUUGUCCCGGUUUAAGCGUGUAGGCUGGUUUUCCAGGCAAAUCCGGAAAACCAAGGCUGAGGCGUGAUGACGAGGCACUACGGUGCUGAAGCGACAAAUGCCCUGCUUCCAGGAAAAGCCUCUAAGCAUCAGGUAACAUCAAAUCGUACCCCAAACCGACACAGGUGGUCAGGUAGAGAAUACCAAGGCGCUUGAGAGAACUCGGGUGAAGGAACUAGGCAAAAUGGUGCCGUAACUUCGGGAGAAGGCACGCUGAUAUGUAGGUGAAGCGACUUGCUCGUGGAGCUGAAAUCAGUCGAAGAUACCAGCUGGCUGCAACUGUUUAUUAAAAACACAGCACUGUGCA
rnacentral:rRNA from 1 species